rnacentral:rRNA from 1 species
UACCCGCUGAACUUAAGCAUAUCAAUAAGCGGAGGAAAAGAAACCAACAGGGAUUGCCUCAGUAACGGCGAGUGAAGCGGCAACAGCUCAAAUUUGAAAUCUGGCCCUUUCAGGGUCCGAGUUGUAAUUUGCAGAGGAUGCUUCGGGUUCAGCUCCGGUCUAAGUUCCUUGGAACAGGACGUCAUAGAGGGUGAGAAUCCCGUAUGUGACCGGUUGCCAUGCCCGUGUGAAGUUCCUUCGACGAGUCGAGUUGUUUGGGAAUGCAGCUCAAAAUGGGUGGUAAAUUUCAUCUAAA